UACGUAGGGUCCAAGCGUUGUCCGGAAUUAUUGGGCGUAAAGCGUGCGCAGGCGGUGAUGUAAGACAGAUGUGAAAUCCCCGGGCUCAACCUGGGAACUGCAUUUGUGACUGCAUUGCUGGAGUGCGGCAGAGGGGGAUGGAAUUCCGCGUGUAGCAGUGAAAUGCGUAGAUAUGCGGAGGAACACCGAUGGCGAAGGCAAUCCCCUGGGCCUGCACUGACGCUCAUGCACGAAAGCGUGGGGAGCAAACAGG
rnacentral:rRNA from 1 species